rnacentral:tRNA from 1 species
GGGAAUGUGGCUUAGUGGUAGAGUACUUACCUGCCAAGCAUGAAGUCCUGGGUUCGAUUCCUCAGUACCA